AUUGAACGCUGGCGGCAGGCCUAACACAUGCAAGUCGAACGAGUGGCGGACGGGUGAGUAAUGUCUGGGAAAUUGCCUGAUGGAGGGGGUGAACUAAUGGAAACGGUAGCUAAUACCGCAUACCAUCAGAUGUGCCCAGAUGGGAUUAGCUUGUUGGUGGGGUACCGGGUCACCAAGGCGACGAUCCCUAGCUGGUCUGAGAGGAUGACCGGCCACACUGGAACUGAGACACGGUCCAGACUCCGACGGGAGGCAGCAGUGGGGAAGAGUGGAAAAUGGGCGCAAGCGUGAUGCAGCCAUGCCGCGUGUCUGAAGAAGGCCUGCGGGUUGUAAAGUACUUUCAGCGGGGAGGCGUUACCCGCAGAAGAAGCACCGGCUAACUACGUGCCAGCAGCCGCGGUAAUUC
rnacentral:rRNA from 1 species